rnacentral:lncRNA from 1 species
AUCCUUCACAAACGGCAGCGAGCCCUCACAGCAGGGCUGUCAGCGCCGCGUUUCACCGAGACUCGCUCUAACUUUCCAGCAACAAAGAGGAGACCCGUGGGUGGCUCCGAGCCGCCGCGGCGGCGGCUCCCCGGCUCGGCCCGACAACCCACACAGCCCGGGCCGGUGCAGACGUGGCUUCCUCACACCCCACCCCACCCCACCGGCCUGCGCCACCUUCCCCACCCGCCGCCUCCCCGGGCCCCGUCCCGCCCCAACCCCAAAUUGUGCCCGCCGACCGGGGGCGGCGGCCGGACCCCCGAGAGGGACCGGGCGGGAGAGGCAGCCCCGGGGCUGCCCGCGCCGCGCUCCCGCAGCCCCGGGGCUGAGCCGUGCGGGGCCGCCCGGGCUCCCCAGAGCCGGCACCGGCGGGGGCACGGCCGGGGGGGCCCCGCGGCCGCCAGCAGUCGGGAGGCCUCGCCGCAGGCCUCGCACCUCGGCGCGGCCCUGCUGGCGGGGCGGCAGCCGCCCGGCCCGGCCCGGCCCGGAGGGACCGAGGGGGGAGCCCCCGGGCAGGGGGCAGCGGGGGCUGCGGGCCCCCGGGGGGCGGCGGGGCGCGGGGCCGGCGCGGCUGCCAUUUCUCCUGGCCCUCGGCGCUGUCGGGCGGGAGCGGGGGCGGGAGGAGGAGGAGGAGGAGGAGGAGGAAAAGGGAGGGAGGGGAGAGGGAGGUGGCCGAGCCGGAGUGAAGUGAGGCGCUCAGCUGCCAACACUCACACACUGCCUGCCGCCGCCGCGCUGCUCCCGGACCCCGGGCAAGAGGGGGAGAGGAGGGAAGGCGAGGCAAAGCGAGACGCGGGAGAGGAGGCAGAAGACCCCUGGCAAGGGGAGGUCAGAGAGGAGGGAAGCGCGGAGAGGGGGGAAGGAGCCUCCUCCCCGCCGAGAGACGACUUCCCAUGUAGCGGGGGACAGAGGGAGAAGGCUGGCGCUCAGAAACUGUGCGAGAAGCUUUCCCAGCAAGUUACUUAA